CAGAGAAUCCAGGCUCGGGCGCAGACUGUGAGAACCGGGCGGCCCCCCCGGCCGUCUGGCCCCGGCCAGCCCCGACGGGGUCCCCCCGCCGCCGCCCCCCUCCUCAUCGGGAGGUGCGCUGAAUCCGUCGGGUCUCAGUCCGUCUGGGUUAUCCCCAGGAUCACUCGCAUCCUCAAGAAAAGCGGACACCCUCCCCGCCUAGCCAAGGUGGGUGUUUGGGGGGGUAAUGCCCCCUCUCUCUGCCACUGAGACUGUUGUCACCCCCCCUUGCUCCCCGGCUCGCCCGACCCGGAGCCGCUCUUCGCCUGGCAGACGGUGUCGAAGCCCAAGUUCAAGUCCACGCCGAGGGGCUCUGCCCCGGGAUUCCCAGCUCCUUUCUAUCCCCGCCUUUUGUUCGCCUCUGACAAUUGCUCUUUAUUUCUUACACACCCCCAGCCUCCCCACCCCGCACCCCCCCUCCCUCUCUGCCCGCACUUGGCACCGUUUAGCUGCCUGCCUGCAAACUUAACAACCCCGGUUCUUGGUAUAAGCAUUCAAAUUACCCUUCUUUCUACAUAUAAACACGGCCCGGGGUGUGCGGCUCUCCCUGGCCGCGGGGUCCCUCCGGCGCAGCCCAGUUCCCCCGCACCGGCGCAGGCCGGAGGAAGUUUCUGCUGCGGGACAAGGCCGGAUCCAGCACUCUCCCUCUCCGGGGCUCCCCCGGGCCAACUCUCAGGCAGUGUUGACAGAAGAGGAUGGGUAGGAGAUAUCAACGGCAGGCACACGUGUCCCAGGAGAGGGUGAGACACCAGCAGAGAUGGAGCAAGAAACGAGCCUGUGUGAGGGUGCUGUGCCCAGGAUGGCUGCAGGGAAAGGAGAGAGGCGGCAGCUGCGGUGACAAGGACAACAGCCUGGGCAUCCCUGUGCGGUUCAUGUGCCAGUGACCGGGAGCAUGGCGGCAUGGCAUGUCUCCUUACCACACAGAUGUGCAAGGGAGGAUGCUCGCAGGGGUAGAAUCAAACAAAGGGGGAGAGGCUGGGAGAUGCUGCUCAGGACCCAUCAUGCUUCUGGGGUGUGACAAUGGGUAGAGGGGGACACUUGAAGGGAACCAGAUACCCAGGGAACACAAUUGCUCCAGUAAAGGCCUGAACGUUGAACAUAUGAACCAAAGGCAGUUUGGGCUCAGAUGGUAGAGAAAACCCAUUUCUGGAGCACCUCCUCUAGCGGGAGACGCCUUCAGAGACGUCAUGGAGAUUUGAACUGUCUGAGGAUUUGGGACAGCUUAGGCUGACGUUUCUAACUUGAUUGCAACUGAGACAGCUCUUCCAGGGAUGGUUGUGAUGUUUAUUAAUGGUAGUGAAGGAAGGCACCAGCAGAUUUCUAGAGCCCCACAAGUGUAAGGAUGGGGAACAGGCCCUUUUCUGGAUGUUGACCAUGGACCAUGACCAUACAACUUCACCCUGGGGCUUACCAGAUGUCAGCCAUGUCCCCAAAAAUAAAUGAUGAAGAAAGGGAGAACAAACCCCAAUGCAAACAAGGCAGCACAAGCCCACCCUCUCACUUCAGGCUGCUCUCACUAGAGGCUCAAUCAACCCCUCUUUGGGGACUGCGAGGCAAAUGCAGAUCAAAUGCCACUUGGCUGAGGUCUCUCAUUUUGCCUUCAGACCAGGGACCCCCUGGUUUCCACAGCUGCUGGGUGCAGACCCUGGUCCUACCAUUUCACCCUUUUGUACUGAUUGAGAACUUCCUUUGGGAAGGUGGUUUCAUUCCCAUAUGCACCUUCCCUGGUUUUCUUUGGGGUUGUGUCCUCCCUCCAGCCCCUCGAGCAUCCGUCUCCUCAUACCUGCAGACAAUAUCUGGUCCCCAAGCACUUCCACCUCCCCCCUCCUCAAAAGCUUCCCUCAGCUGUCUUUAAGUCGUAGCUGAAAUCUGCGGUAUGUAGGAGGAGAAAUUCAGUCUGACAGCAGUUUAAAACACCGCACUACUUGGCAGAUUUAAAUGCUAUUUUAAAUAUAAGCUAUGACACAAUGGACAAAAAUAGCAUUGAAAAUACCCUGUCAUGUUCCAUAUUGCGAGGAAUAGAGAAGCAGACCAGGAUAGAAAGGAGCAGAGAGAGGGGCCAGAUGGAGAGGAGAGGUUAUUUUAUUUGUUUUAAAGAAACUGGAUAAAUGUAUUUCGUAUGUGACUGGGUAAAUGCGGUUUAUGGAGCAUGGAGAAAAAAAAAUAAAUAAACCUUCUCAUGAAAAA